UACGGGGGGGGCAAGCGUUGUUCGGAAUUACUGGGCGUAAAGGGUCUGUAGGUGGCCAACUAAGUCAGACGUGAAAUCCCUCAGCUUAACUGGGGAACUGCGUCUGAUACUGGUUGGCUUGAGUGCAGGAGAGGAAUGCGGAAUUCCAGGUGUAGCGGUGAAAUGCGUAGAUAUCUGGAGGAACACCGGUGGCGAAGGCGGCAUCCUGGACCGGCAUUGACGCUGAAUAGCGAAAGCCAGGGGAGCAAACGGG
rnacentral:rRNA from 1 species